rnacentral:rRNA from 1 species
UGGGGAAUAUUGCACAAUGGGCGCAAGCCUGAUGCAGCCAUGCCGCGUGUAUGAAGAAGGCCUUCGGGUUGUAAAGUACUUUCAGCGGGAGGAAGGUGUUGAGGUUAAGUAACCUCAGCAAUUGACGUUACCCGCAGAAGAAGCACCGGCUAACUCCGUGCCAGCAGCCGCGGUAAUACGGAGGGUGCAAGCGUUAAAUCGGAAUUACUGGGCGUAAAGCGCACGCAGGCGGUCUGUCAAGUCGGAUGUGAAAUCCCCGGGCUCAACCUGGGAACUGCAUUCGAAACUGGCAGGCUGGAGUCUUGUAGAGGG